AAAGGAAGAAUAAAGUUGAAGACUAAGUUGGUGAAUUUGGCUAUAAUUGGUACCGAGUAUUGCAAAGCUACUUCAAGGAUCCUAAAGAAGUCGGAGAUCGUCCACACUAUCAACCACAACUACUCGAUCGGGGUACAGGUAUACUAGCUGCAUUUGAUGGACAGAGAAGCUUAUGGCAGCGCACACACCAUCGAUAUUGCCUAAGCCACGUUGCUUCAAACUACUACAGGCAAUAUCCAUCUAAGAGCGAAUGUCGACAAGUGACCAACAUGAGUAUUUAGUCUCUAUCUGUGUUAUUUCUUUUG